rnacentral:rRNA from 1 species
GGCGGACGGGUGAGUAAUGCAUGGGAAUCUGCCCAUCAGUGGGGGACAACUCGGAGAAAUCCGAGCUAAUACCGCAUAUUCUCUACGGAGGAAAGGCUUCGGCCGCUGAUGGAUGAGCCCAUGUUAGAUUAGCUUGUUGGUAGAGUAAAGGCCUACCAAGGCGACGAUCUAUAGCUGGUCUGAGAGGACGAUCAGCCACACUGGGACUGAGACACGGCCCAGACUCCUACGGGAGGCAGCAGUGGGGAAUAUUGGACAAUGGGCGAAAGCCUGAUCCAGCAGUGCCGCGUGUGUGAAGAAGGCCUGCGGGUUGUAAAGCACUUUCAGUAGGGAGGAUAAUGACGUUACCUACAGAAGAAGCACCGGCUAACUCUGUGCCAGCAGCCGCGGUAAUACAGAGGGUGCGAGCGUUAAUCGGAAUUACUGGGCGUAAAGCGCGCGUAGGCGGUUUGUUAAGUCGGAUGUGAAAGCCCCGGGCUCAACCUGGGAACUGCAUUCGAUACUGGCAGGCUAGAGUAUGGUAGAGGGUAGUG